AGAAGCCGCCGGGAACGGCGCUUCCGACCGAUUGGACCCCGCGGCACCAUCCGCGGGGUUUUUCUUAUGGGGCA
rnacentral:misc_RNA from 1 species